UGCUUGACGACCAUAGCGUUAUGGACCCACCUGAUUCCAUGCCGAACUCAGUAGUGAAACGUAACAGCGCCGAUGGUAGUGUGGAUUUCUCCAUGUGAGAGUAGGACAUCAUCAAGCUU
rnacentral:rRNA from 1 species